UUGAAAGGGAAACGAUUGAAGUCAGUCGUACCUGCGGGUAAUCAGCCUUUUGGGUGUGAUUAUGUGUAGCGUGAGGACGUUAAUCACCCUCAUCUUUGCAUAUUCGUGCACUUUGGGUGUACUUGCUCGUGUGGUAGGUUAACAUCAAUUUUGAUCAUCAUAAAAUGAUUGGAGGAAUGUAGCUUCGAUCUCGUAUUGAAGUGUUAUAGCCUUUGGUAGAUGUGAUGAUCGGGAUUGAGGAUUGCAACGGAUACCCUUCGGGGCUACCCGUCUGAUCUCUGAAAGUUGCUCUGGUGCUGAAAGCUUGCUUAUGGUAUCAAAGUUGACGUUCAAUAGGUUAGAACGGGAUAAAUUCGUUAAGGAUGUUGACGUA
rnacentral:rRNA from 1 species